rnacentral:rRNA from 1 species
ACCUACGGGAGGCAGCAGUGGGGAAUAUUGCACAAUGGGGGAAACCCUGAUGCAGCGACGCCGCGUGAGUGAAGAAGUAUUUCGGUAUGUAAAGCUCUAUCAGCAGGGAAGAUAAUGACGGUACCUGACUAAGAAGCCCCGGCUAACUACGUGCCAGCAGCCGCGGUAAUACGUAGGGGGCAAGCGUUAUCCGGAUUUACUGGGUGUAAAGGGUGCGCAGGUGGCAGGGCAAGUCAGAUGUAAAAGCCCGGGGCUCAACCCCGGCGAGCCGUUGAAACUGUCGGACUAGAGACGGCGAGAAGUAC